rnacentral:rRNA from 1 species
CGCUCUUUGAGUCCAAAUAUAAAGAGUCGUGCCUGCCCAGUGAUAAUUUAAACGGCCGCAGUACCCUGACUGUGCUAAGGUAGCAUAAUCACUUGCUUUUUAAUUGAAAGCUAGAAUGAAUGGCUUGACGAAAACAUUACUGUCUCUUUUACAUUAACUAAAAAUUAAUUUUUAGGUGAAGAAGCCUAAAUAAAUUCAAAAGACGAAAAGACCCUAUCGAGCUUAAAAAUAACUUUAAUUUUACCGUAACAGUUAAUUUAAAAUUUAAAAAUAAUUUUUUGUUGGGGCGACAAAAGAACAUAUAAAGCUUCUUUUAAUUUAAAUAACCGAUAAGUUAAAACGAUCCAUUAAUAUUGAUUAAAAGAAAAGUUACCGUAGGGAUAACAGCGUAAUUUCUUCGAAGAGCUCAAAUUGAAGAAGAAGUUUGCGACCUCGAUGUUGGAUUAAAAAUUCACCCCGGUGCAGCAGCCGGGGCAGAAGGUCUGUUCGACCUUUAAAAUUUU